UCUUUUGUCCUCAGCUCUCAGGUCCUCUGC
rnacentral:piRNA from 1 species